AAAUCUGAUUCUCCUGAUAUGUUGAUAGGUGAUCUACAGAUCAUAGUUUCCGGAGUGUAUCUUAUUUGGAAGCAAAGUGGAAAAAGUCCAAUUGUAUACGAUAAAACAGAUCAAAAACUUGAAAUUCAACAAAAAGUUGAAAAAGUAUCCAGCUCUAUACAAUAAAUGACAGUUCAAAAACCUUCCAAAAUGGCGCUGGUGUAAACGAAAGAUAUAUUCGACUUACCUCCAAUAAUUCUUCCUAAGGGAUACCACGCACGAUCGUCAAACCAAUUGUGAAAAGAAUAAAACCCUUUUUCUGCUAAAUAUUUGGUUGUACGAUAGUUGAAAUAAGGAUCGAAUUCAUGAAUAACGCUUUCAAACCUCAAUACGGAAAACAGCCUGGUGGCAAAAG